UACAGAGGUCUCAAGCGUUGUUCGGAUUUAUUGGGCGUAAAGAGCUCGUAGGCGGCUCGUCGCGUCGACCGUGAAAACCCGCGGCUUAACUGCGGGCUUGCGGUUGAUACGGGCGGGCUAGAGUUCGGUAGGGGAGACUGGAAUUCCUGGUGUAGCGGUGAAAUGCGCAGAUAUCAGGAGGAACACCGGUGGCGAAGGCGGGUCUCUGGGCCGAUACUGACGCUGAGGAGCGAAAGCGUGGGGAGCGAACAGG
rnacentral:rRNA from 1 species